CAAUGAGAAAAGCAAUUGGCGAAUAUUAGAAUAAAAUAUUAUCGUUUUUGAGUGUGGCGUGGUUGGGUAUAUCACUAUAUCGUAUAUUAUAAAGAAGGAAGCGUGGAAAAAGAGGUUGUGAAUCGAAACGGAAGAAAAUGGGUUGUUCUUUGGUGUGGUUGGUAAUUGCGAUUCAAGCGUGGAAUUGGGGAGUGAAGGCGCAAGUGCAAGUGGAAGGCUUCAGGAACAUAUUUAUACUAGCGGGUCAGAGCAACAUGGCGGGUCGAGGGGGCGUCGUCAACGACACGUGGGACGGCGUCGUUCCGCCCCAGUGCGGCCCCAGCCCCUCCGUGGCCAGGCUGGACGCGCACCUCGCGUGGGUGGAGGCGCGUGAGCCUCUCCACGCGGACAUCGACUCCAAGAAGAGCAACGGUGUUGGGCCGGGUAUGGCCUUCGCCAACUCCGUCUUGGACACUCACCCACAGUUGGGCCCAAUCGGUUUGGUCCCUUGCGCCAUCGGAGGCACCAAUAUAAGCGAGUGGGAACACGGAAAAUACCUCUACAAUCACAUGAUAAAGAGGGCCAAGGCAUCGUUGCGUCACGGUGCCUCUAUUCGUGCUCUUCUCUGGUUUCAAGGAGAGUCCGAUACGGUCAAUCUACACGAUGCACAGUCCUACCAAACAAGACUCCAAAAGUUCUUCUCCCACGUUCGUCAUGAUCUACAGUCUCCGUUGCUUCCUAUAAUCCAGGUAGCUCUGGCAUCUGGAAUGGGCCCUUACAUAGAGAUAGUAAGACAGGCUCAGCUGAGCAUUGACUUCCUAAAUUUGAGAACAGUGGACGCUCAUGGAUCACCCCUUCAGCCCGAUGGGCUACACCUUUCGACACCGGCCCAGGUGCAUCUUGGGCAGCUGAUGGCUAACGCAUUCCUUCAGUUCGUACCAUCCUCAAAUCUAAAUCACAACGUUAGCCCAAUUCGUGAUGAGGCCAUCAGGCUUUAUAUUUCUACCUUUUAUGUUUAUAUGCUCCCCUUGUUCAUAACGUUUAUCACAAUUAUGCACAAAACUUUCUUAUAGUACCAUUCUUUUUUCAUUACUAUUUUCACCCAUAGGCAUAAACACAAUCAUGAAGUGAGAUUAUAGAGUAUGUAAGAAAAUUCAAGCAUUGUAUGAAUCAUUUCAAUUUAAAGUGAGA